UACGGAGGUUGCGAGCGUUAUCCGGAUUUAUUGGGUUUAAAGGGUGCGCAGGCGGUCUGUUAAGUCAGCGGUCAAAGCCCGGGGCUCAACCCCGGCCCGCCGUUGAAACUGGCAGUCUCGAGUUGGAGAGAAGUAUGCGGAAUGCGCGGUGUAGCGGUGAAAUGCAUAGAUAUCGCGCAGAACUCCGAUUGCGAAGGCAGCAUGCCGGCUCCACACUGACGCUGAGGCACGAAAGCGUGGGUAUCGAACAGG
rnacentral:rRNA from 1 species